rnacentral:lncRNA from 1 species
UUGUAUAUAUUUUAUUUCAGUAACACAUCACAUGAAUUACAAUACAUCAUUCAUCGACUCCUCUACACAUAAAGGUUCAAGGCCCAACAAGUGCACAACAAACUAGUUCUACAAGUGCAAGUGUACAACAAAAGGCCCAACAAGUGCAUAAUCACACAUCAACAUAGUUCAACAAAGAUUGAAUGAGAAUCACAAGUUUUUGUUGAUCACACAUAACAUCAAUGAUAAACGAAGCUUCUUGUUCCCUCCUCCCGUCAUGUCCUCUACUUCUUCUGGG